UUGUGAACGUUACCUAAACCGUUGCUUCGGCGGGCGGCCCCGGGGUUUACCCCUGGGGGCCCCUGGGCCCCACCGCGGGCGCCCGCGGAGGUCACCAAACUCUUGAUAAUUUAUGGCCUCUCUGAGUCUUCUGUACUGAAUAAGUCAAAACUUUCAACAACGGAUCUCUUGGUUCUGGCAUCGAUGAAGAACGCAGCGAAAUGCGAUAAGUAAUGUGAAUUGCAGAAUUCAGUGAAUCAUCGAAUCUUUGAACGCACAUUGCGCCCGCCAGUAUUCUGGCGGGCUGCCUGUUCGAGCGUCAUUUCAACCAUCAAGCCCCGGGCUUGGGUUGGGGACCUGCGGCUGCCGCAGGGCCUGAAAAGCAGUGGCGGGCUCGCUGUCACACCGAGCGUAGUAGCAUAUAUCUCGCUCGGGCGUGCUGCGGGUUCCGGCCGUUAAACCACCUUUUAACCCAAGGUGACCUCGGAUCAGGUAGGAAGACCCGCUGAACUUAAGCAUAUCAAUAG
rnacentral:rRNA from 1 species